ensembl:snRNA U6 U6 spliceosomal RNA
UUGCUCACCUGGGCAGCACAUAUACUAACACUGGAACGAUACAGAGAAGGUCGGCAAGGCCCCCGCCAAGGAUGACACGCGAAUUCGUGGAGCUUCCGUGUUUUAA